UAGUGGCGAACGGGUGAGUAACACGUGGGCAAUCUGCCCUGCACUCUGGGACAAGCCCUGGAAACGGGGUCUAAUACCGGAUAUGACCAUCUUGGGCAUCCUUGAUGGUGUAAAGCUCCGGCGGUGCAGGAUGAGCCCGCGGCCUAUCAGCUUGUUGGUGAGGUAACGGCUCACCAAGGCGACGACGGGUAGCCGGCCUGAGAGGGCGACCGGCCACACUGGGACUGAGACACGGCCCAGACUCCUACGGGAGGCAGCAGUGGGGAAUAUUGCACAAUGGGCGAAAGCCUGAUGCAGCGACGCCGCGUGAGGGAUGACGGCCUUCGGGUUGUAAACCUCUUUCAGCAGGGAAGAAGCGAAAGUGACGGUACCUGCAGAAGAAGCGCCGGCUAACUACGUGCCAGCAGCCGCGGUAAUACGUAGGGCGCGAGCGUUGUCCGGAAUUAUUGGGCGUAAAGAGCUCGUAGGCGGCUUGUCACGUCGGUUGUGAAAGCCCGGGGCUUAACCCCGGGUCUGCAGUCGAUACGGGCAGGCUAGAGUUCGGUAGGGGAGAUCGGA
rnacentral:rRNA from 1 species